ACUGGGCACGGUGGCGCAUGCUUGUAAUCCCAGCGGCUCAGGAGGCUGAGGCAGGAGGAUCAUGAGUUCAAAGCCAGCUUCAGCGAAAGUGGGGUGCUAAGCAACACAGUGAGAACCUGUCUCUA
rnacentral:sRNA from 1 species